rnacentral:lncRNA from 1 species
UUUUUUUUUUUUUUUUUUUUUUGAGACAGAGUCUUGCUCUGUUACUCAGGCUAGAGUACAGUGGUUAUCACAGUUCAUUGCAACCUGGACCUCCUGGGCUCAAGUGAUUCUCCCACCUCAGCCUCCUGAGUAACUGGGACUACAGGCACAUAUCACCAUACCCAGCCAAUUUUUAAAUAUUUUGUAGAGACAAGGUCUUCCUAUGUUGUUCGGGCUGGUCUUGAUCUUCUGGGUUCAAGCGAUCUUCCUGCUUUGGCCUCCCAAAGUGCUGGGAUUAUAGGCAUGAGCCACCAUGCCCGGCCUGUAGUCAUGAUUUUGAGUAAAGCUGAACCCCCCAAUAGCAGACUUACUUAGAGGGACAAAGUAGCCCAAGGAGAAGAAGAUCCAAGGAUAAGAGCAAGGGCUUUGGCAUUCGACCUGGCUAUGAAUUCUGUGCCACUUGCUGGAUUGACAAUGAUGGGAGUGUUGCCUUCUCUCUUUGAGAACAUAAGGCCCAUGAAACUCAAUAUGUGGCCCUGACAGUUUUACCUGCAGUGAACUUUGAAACACAUUUCUUGGGGUGUCUUAAGCUGGCCUUGCCAUCAAGCUGGUGCUCUCAUCUGGGCCUUAUGUUCUCAAAGAGAGAAGGCAACACUCCCAUCAUUGUCACAUGUGAGAACAUAGUUUUAUCAUCUGUAAAAUGAGGAUGAUUAUAAUUACUUCAUAAAGCCCUUGUAAGAAUUACAUGAAAAAAUGUUUUGAAGCAUUUAGUACGUUGCCUGUACAUAGCAGCCACUCAGUUGUAAUUACUAUCAUCAAUAUGGCAAGCAAAGACUGACAAAGAAUCAAAGUGUGCUGAAAGUGUUCUACCGUCUAAAGGGUAACCCCUCUAGGUUGUCUGAUUUGGAAUGUAUGGGAGCAAUUUUAACAACUUUGUAAUUUGUAGAUUAUUGAUAACAAUGUAAUGUAAUUCCUGUCUGUAGAUACAGAUUCUGUCUUGUCUGGUAGAGGUUCAAUUGACUUCCCUUUAUUUUUUUCUUUCCAACUUUUAUUUUCGGUUUGGUGUGAUUAUUUUAUCACCCAGGUAAUAAACAUAGUAUCUGAUAGGUAGUUUUAAAAUCUUCUCCUUCCUCUCACCCAACUUCUCUUUCUUACUUCUUCUGGAAAAAGCAGUUUUGCCUUGACUCAUGCACUCAUUUCAACAUUUCUCAUCUCAUUUCAACAUUUCUCAUCUAUAAGCAAGGACACCUCUGGAAGAUGCAAGGCCCAGCAAAUAUUUUUGAUAUAAACUAUUUGAUGUACACUUUAAAUGGAUGAAUUGUAUGCUAUCUGAAUUAUAUUCCAAUGAGACUAUUAAAAACACUUGUGGGUUUUUGGUUGUCUUUUUAGUUCCCCAGUACUAUUCUGGCAAUUCUGGGUCCCUUCUGGCAUGAUUUCAUGAAAGAACCCAGGCAGGAGUGAUUCAGGCCGCCUCUCUGAAAUUGGGGCCCAGGCCACAGGGCCCUAGGAAAGCUUCAU